UAUAUCUUCCUUUUAAUGUUGUCCCAUUUAACAUAUCUUCCUCGAUGAUAAGGUUUGGUUGGAAUGGGAUUAUAUAACAGGGUUUGUAAUUGGUUGUUGAAUAUGGUUUGAAUGCAAUCAUGUGAACAUGGGUGGAAUGGCUAGAACGGAAUCUUGUGAAUGGAAUAUAAUCAUAUUUGAAUAGGGUGGAAUCUGAUGUUGUACAAGUGACAUCAACCUCCAUUUUCAACUAAGGUUGCUUUUAAUGUGGAGGAGUUUUGCUGUUCUUCUAAUUAUGACUUUAUCUACAUCAAUAGCUGCAAGAGAAGGUUCUAUUCCCAAGGCUGCUUAUCAGAUCUGUUUAGAAGUUUGGUUGGCUCUUUCUUCGCUUACUGAUGCUUUAGCACUUGCAGGACAGGUAACCUUAAACAUUAACCUACUACAAGGUUAAGGUUGUUGUUCUAUUUUUUUCUUGUAGUUGUCUGAUUGUGUUGUUGUGUAGGCAAUUCUUGCAAGUAGUUAUUCACAAAAGAAAUAUGGUGAAGCACACAGAGUAAUAGACUAUUUUUAUUUGUUGAAAUCAUUAUUUUAUAUUUAUCAUCAAACAUUCAACAAUUUCUUUCUAGAUCUAUACACCUUCAUUAUCGGAAGUUAGGUGAUCUCAACCAGACUAGGUGGUGCAUGAUACGCCAUUGACGAAGUCAAAAGAAAACCAGCCACAGUUUUACUAGCUCAAAUCUGGAAAUAGGUGCUCCAUUGUUGUCAAGACCUGUAUACUACUAUCGAUAUGGGUAAAAAAAUUGUAAGAUUACUGUUUUUGGUUUCAGAUGGUCCCAAAGUAUUGUAAGAUGACUAUUUUUGAAAUUUGGUCCAAAAAUAAUAGUCAUUUAUUUCACUUGAACUAGGGCCAAAAAUGUUACAAAAACCUCAAAAUAUAAUGAAAGAGAAAAUUUUUGGGACAAAAAAACAGAUUUACUCAAAAAAAAUUAACAAUACAAUACCCCGCAUCCAGAAAAGGUCCUGUCACGUGUCAGGCUGCAUUCUUUUGCUAUGAAGAUGAUGCAUGAGCAGGCGUUUUAAACACAUACCUUAUCAAACUUCAUUUAUGUGUAUCUGUAUAAACGUGAACACAAUUUUAGCUCAAAAGGCUUCACAUAUUUAAGGGAACAUGAUGUUCUAGUCUCUUCUGGUCUUUAAUAAUAUAAGGUAUGAUGAUGUUUAUAUUCAUGCUAUUAUUUGUGGUUAGUUGUUAUUCACAAUCAUAAUGAUUAUGUUGAAAUCUUGUUAUUCCUUAUUGUUUCAUGUCUUCUAAAGCUGGGAUGCUUUCUUUACCAAUGUUUUUCAAUUCCAGGAUUUUGUAGUAAUGGUUAUGCAUCAAAUGCCGAUUCUGGAAACUCUUUGUUGGUAUCUGGUAGAUUCCAAAAGAGAGAAAAAGACGCGACCAAGGAAUUUUAUGGGGCUUCUUAUAAAAUACAAGUUAUCCAUGACAAGAUUUAUACAUCCAUGUUGGCUGGCCUUUGUAUAGAAAAUAUGGUAAUGCAUUUGAGGUUCGAAUUUCCAAUCAAGUAGUUGAUUCUAGGCGUGAAUCCAUGCAAUCAGAUGAUGAAUGUCAAAUUGUAACAAUGUAUAGCAUUACAUUGUAGAAGGUGUCCCUUAAUAGCAAUGUAGUAUUAGGUUAUAUGGUUAGGGAAACCUCUUAAUAACAAUGUACACUUAGAUCCCCUUAAUAUCAAUGUACUACAAUUUUUUGAGAUGAUGUUAUUGGAUGAAAUUGAUUGUUUUGGUA